UUAAGUACUUGUCGGUCGAGAAACCUUCCUGUUCCAAGCCGGUUGGGCUGCAUGCUGCACAUUCUGUCAGCAACAAGGUGAAAUGCCUCGUGCCUCAUGGCUAACUGAUUAAAAACUGGUGCUCCUUAUACCAACUUGCCAAAGGAAAUUGCUGAUUACUUGAAUAAAAUGGGUGCUAGAAUACCAAACAUAAAGCCUGGGAAAGCCACAAUAGAGCAUCUGACUAAGAUUCAAGCAUCAACACGUUUUUGGGGUGGCCCAUUGUUAAGUAUUUUGGCAACUACAUCAACCCUGCUCAGUCAUUAUUUACGCCGUAUAAAUGAGGGAUUUGCUAUAGGGUUCACAUCUGUACUAAUUAUUGUGGGUUCAAUCAUUGAACUGAGAAGAUCCUAUCAAGCAUAUAAUGUAAUGCCAACCUUAAGCAAAGCUCUAAAAAGAUUCGGUGUCUAGCAUCAAUCCCCCAGUUGGCUCAUGCUUACACUGUGAGGACAAAAAGGAAGUGCUUCAAAUCAUUGUUAUUUGUCUUCGACCAGACUCCAGAGCAGCAUGCCGGGCAUUCUACCAAUUGUCAAUGGUGCAAUUGGAUCUUCGUUAUUAAUAAUCACAGGGAAGGAGCUGGGAGGAGUCCUAUAAAACUAAAAUCUCAUUUCCAACUUGAGUCUUGAAGUCGAAGGAGCAGCUGCUAUAGCAACAAAAGACCGUGUUAAAUGUAGUGUAUUUAUCUUAUGGUGAACCUUAAGCAGUGAUCAACGCUGUGCCGCUCAUUUCUCCAGUGCAGUAGCGCGAGUUCAACCAUCAAAAUUUUGGAACCAGCUUCUGUGGCCAGGCCCAAUGGCGACACCAGCUGAAAUGUUGAAUCUAAUCUUCUACCCAUUCUUUAUAUAGGAAAUAAACUAAUAAUCUAAAAUUUAACCCAGAAAAGUAGGGAGGCGUCCAUGGAUGAAAUGGGUCAUUGUGACAUAAUUAGUUUGAGUUUGUCACAAGCAAUUCUUGGGGGAAUGGUCUCCUUGUUCAGGAACAUUAUUAAAUAGUGAAUUUGAAGGGAAAUAAAGAAGACAGAAUGGGCAUGCC